rnacentral:rRNA from 4 species
UCUGGGAUAAGCCUGGGAAACUGGGUCUAAUACCGGAUAUGACUUCUCAUCGCAUGGUGGGGGGUGGAAAGCUUUUGUGGUUUUGGAUGGACUCGCGGCCUAUCAGCUUGUUGGUGGGGUAAUGGCCUACCAAGGCGACGACGGGUAGCCGGCCUGAGAGGGUGACCGGCCACACUGGGACUGAGACACGGCCCAGACUCCUACGGGAGGCAGCAGUGGGGAAUAUUGCACAAUGGGCGCAAGCCUGAUGCAGCGACGCCGCGUGAGGGAUGACGGCCUUCGGGUUGUAAACCUCUUUCAGUAGGGAAGAAGCCCUCUUUUGGGGGUGACGGUACUUGCAGAAGAAGCGCCGGCUAACUACGUGCCAGCAGCCGCGGUAAUACGUAGGGCGCAAGCGUUAUCCGGAAUUAUUGGGCGUAAAGAGCUCGUAGGCGGUUUGUCGCGUCUGCUG